CAGGGGGACGAGGCCGUCAGCACCCUGAGCUGGACGGGGAGCGCUGAUGGAGGCCAUCAGAUCUUUUGCCUCGGUUCCAACCUCCACGGGUUCUAUAUUUUACCGCUGAGCCCACUGGAAACAGGUGGCCUCACUCGGGCAUUGAUCGAAAUCAGCUGCAAACUCGUCUUCGUGGCGACUGGAUUCUUCCUCGCCUAUUACCUCACCCUGCUCUAUUACAGAUGGACACUCUGCUGCUGUCGUGGAAGCAGAAGGAAGGACAGGCCGGGGGACAGGGAAUCCACGGUGCCCGAGUCCGGCGUGUAGAUCAGGCCGUUCCUCAGCCACCGAAGAGCCAACAAGGAAUUAGAAACUCAUGGGACUGAGGAAAGAGAGAAUGAGACCUCAGCUGGGGGAACGGCCACCCCGGGUGAGGCCAAUGGGCCCUGUUUCCUCCCACACUGUUUAAUUUGUAUUGAAAGAGAUGCCAGAGCUCAGCUGUGACUCAAAUUAAGCCCCGGCAGGGCGGCCUGAUACUGGCGGGGGCUGGCCGGGCACCCAGCCCUGAAGGCAGCGCCACCGCCAGCAGCAGCGCAGAAGUCAGGGGGGCCUGGCACAUGGGGUGUUGCCACCCUCCUGCGCUGCUGCUGGGGCUUGUGGUGCCUGGUGCUCAGCAUGUGGCUCAAGGCUUCGCACUGCCACACGUGGGCUGCAUCUCGCCAGAGCCCACGGCCUCCUGCAGCCCCCUGGCCACUCCUGGCUCACCCCGGGGGGGGGCACCAGUUCAGAUUUGGGGCGGGGGGAGGAAACUUUAGCCAUGAUUCCAGGGACUACUUGUGCACCUGAAAACUCUCGGGGCUUUGAAGAUAAUAACGUAGGGAUUAGCUGACAGGAGCACUGUAUCUAAUUGUUAUAUAAAGAAAGAAAAUAUAUAUACAAACGCCCAUUAAAGCCACGUUUAAAUCUUAUAUGUAAAUUUAGAAGAAUCAGGAGAUAAUACAGCAAGAUAUUCCCAAUCCCAAGCCUUGAGGUAUCAGUUCUCAAGCUUUAAUGCAGCUAUCAGAAACACACGUAUGAGACUUCGCACACAAUCUUUAGUAGAGAUAAAUAAAAAUAAAUAUCGUCUUACUUUCUCUAAGAGACAGUGUGUUUCUGCCAUUGUCUCCUCUAUUUUAGUCAAUUAUUUUUCACGAAAAACAUAAUUUUAACAUAUGUGACUAAAGUUUUGUUUUCUCUUUUAUUAAGAAAGGGAAUUAAUGUUUCUAAUUCUUUUGGCAUUUGUGUUUACCUUCCACAAUCCUGUAUUUGUAUGUGACUCACUAACAUUUGACUCCAUCAUUGCUAUUGGUCUCACAGUGGGAACUGCAGUUAUUUUCAUGCACAUGUUAAGUUAAUUUACAGAUAUAACUAAAAAUACAAUUUGAAAAUAAGCAACUUUCAUCUGCGCAGUGGCUAUAGUUCUGUGUUUAGCUAAUGUUUUUAAGCUGGAAUUACUAAAGUGAGUACAAGCUACAGUUCCAUUCUAGGCGAAUACAUUUAUUUGAUUGUAACACUUUACACAAUGAAUAACAAACAAAGCACAAUAUGAUAACAACAAUAAUAAUGCUAAUUACUCCAGCCAGGACAGGUUAGGCAGUUUAGAACUCACUACUCAAAAGUAUUCAAUGUA